ACUAUCAUUAACUGAAUCCAUAGGUUAAUGAGGCGAACCGGGGGAACUGAAACAUCUAAGUACCCCGAGGAAAAGAAAUCAACCGAGAUUCCCCCAGUAGCGGCGAGCGAACGGGGAGCAGCCCAGAGCCUGAAUCAGUGUGUGUGUUAGUGGAAGCGUCUGGAAAGGCGCGCGAUACAGGGUGACAGCCCCGUACACAAAAAUGCACAUGCUGUGAGCUCGAUGAGUAGGGCGGGACACGUGGUAUCCUGUCUGAAUAUGGGGGGACCAUCCUCCAAGGCUAAAUACUCCUGACUGACCGAUAGUGAACCAGUACCGUGAGGGAAAGGCGAAAAGAACCCCGGCGAGGGGAGUGAAAAAGAACCUGAAACCGUGUACGUACAAGCAGUGGGAGCACGCUUAGGCGUGUGACUGCGUACCUUUUGUAUAAUGGGUCAGCGACUUAUAUUCUGUAGCAAGGUUAACCGAAUAGGGGAGCCGAAGGGAAACCGAGUCUUAACUGGGCGUUAAGUUGCAGGGUAUAGACCCGAAACCCGGUGAUCUAGCCAUGGGCAGGUUGAAGGUUGGGUAACACUAACUGGAGGACCGAACCGACUAAUGUUGAAAAAUUAGCGGAUGACUUGUGGCUGGGGGUGAAAGGCCAAUCAAACCGGGAGAUAGCUGGUUCUCCCCGAAAGCUAUUUAGGUAGCGCCUCGUGAAUUCAUCUCCGGGGGUAGAGCACUGUUUCGGCAAGGGGGUCAUCCCGACUUACCAACCCGAUGCAAACUGCGAAUACCGGAGAAUGUUAUCACGGGAGACACACGGCGGGUGCUAACGUCCGUCGUGAAGAGGGAAACAACCCAGACCGCCAGCUAAGGUCCCAAAGUCAUGGUUAAGUGGGAAACGAUGUGGGAAGGCCCAGACAGCCAGGAUGUUGGCUUAGAAGCAGCCAUCAUUUAAAGAAAGCGUAAUAGCUCACUGGUCGAGUCGGCCUGCGCGGAAGAUGUAACGGGGCUAAACCAUGCACCGAAGCUGCGGCAGCGACGCUUAUGCGUUGUUGGGUAGGGGAGCGUUCUGUAAGCCUGUGAAGGUGUGCUGUGAGGCAUGCUGGAGGUAUCAGAAGUGCGAAUGCUGACAUAAGUAACGAUAAAGCGGGUGAAAAGCCCGCUCGCCGGAAGACCAAGGGUUCCUGUCCAACGUUAAUCGGGGCAGGGUGAGUCGACCCCUAAGGCGAGGCCGAAAGGCGUAGUCGAUGGGAAACAGGUUAAUAUUCCUGUACUUGGUGUUACUGCGAAGGGGGGACGGAGAAGGCUAUGUUGGCCGGGCGACGGUUGUCCCGGUUUAAGCGUGUAGGCUGGUUUUCCAGGCAAAUCCGGAAAAUCAAGGCUGAGGCGUGAUGACGAGGCACUACGGUGCUGAAGCAACAAAUGCCCUGCUUCCAGGAAAAGCCUCUAAGCAUCAGGUAACAUCAAAUCGUACCCCAAACCGACACAGGUGGUCAGGUAGAGAAUACCAAGGCGCUUGAGAGAACUCGGGUGAAGGAACUAGGCAAAAUGGUGCCGUAACUUCGGGAGAAGGCACGCUGAUAUGUAGGUGAAGUCCCUCGCGGAUGGAGCUGAAAUCAGUCGAAGAUACCAGCUGGCUGCAACUGUUUAUUAAAAACACAGCACUGUGCAAACACGAAAGUGGACGUAUACGGUGUGACGCCUGCCCGGUGCCGGAAGGUUAAUUGAUGGGGUUAGCGCAAGCGAAGCUCUUGAUCGAAGCCCCGGUAAACGGCGGCCGUAACUAUAACGGUCCUAAGGUAGCGAAAUUCCUUGUCGGGUAAGUUCCGACCUGCACGAAUGGCGUAAUGAUGGCCAGGCUGUCUCCACCCGAGACUCAGUGAAAUUGAACUCGCUGUGAAGAUGCAGUGUACCCGCGGCAAGACGGAAAGACCCCGUGAACCUUUACUAUAGCUUGACACUGAACAUUGAGCCUUGAUGUGUAGGAUAGGUGGGAGGCUUUGAAGUGUGGACGCCAGUCUGCAUGGAGCCGACCUUGAAAUACCACCCUUUAAUGUUUGAUGUUCUAACGUUGACCCGUGAUCCGGGUUGCGGACAGUGUCUGGUGGGUAGUUUGACUGGGGCGGUCUCCUCCUAAAGAGUAACGGAGGAGCACGAAGGUUGGCUAAUCCUGGUCGGACAUCAGGAGGUUAGUGCAAUGGCAUAAGCCAGCUUGACUGCGAGCGUGACGGCGCGAGCAGGUGCGAAAGCAGGUCAUAGUGAUCCGGUGGUUCUGAAUGGAAGGGCCAUCGCUCAACGGAUAAAAGGUACUCCGGGGAUAACAGGCUGAUACCGCCCAAGAGUUCAUAUCGACGGCGGUGUUUGGCACCUCGAUGUCGGCUCAUCACAUCCUGGGGCUGAAGUAGGUCCCAAGGGUAUGGCUGUUCGCCAUUUAAAGUGGUACGCGAGCUGGGUUUAGAACGUCGUGAGACAGUUCGGUCCCUAUCUGCCGUGGGCGCUGGAGAACUGAGGGGGGCUGCUCCUAGUACGAGAGGACCGGAGUGGACGCAUCACUGGUGUUCGGGUUGUCAUGCCAAUGGCACUGCCCGGUAGCUAAAUGCGGAAGAGAUAAGUGCUGAAAGCAUCUAAGCACGAAACUUGCCCCGAGAUGAGUUCU
rnacentral:rRNA from 1 species